GACAGAGGGUGCAAGCGUUGUUCGGAAUUACUGGGCGUAAAGGGCGCGUAGGCGGUCCGCUAAGUUCGGCGUGAAAUCCCCUGGCUCAACUGGGGAACGGCGCUGGAUACUGGUGGACUCGAGUACCGGAGAGGAGAGUGGAAUUCCUGGUGUAGCGGUGAAAUGCGUAGAUAUCAGGAGGAACACCGGUGGCGAAGGCGGCU
rnacentral:rRNA from 1 species